AUGCAAUUUUCAAGCCUGCUGUUGAGUAUCCUCACGCGGACAAUUUAGCUAGCGAGGAGACAAGGCAGUGAUUGAGUACCAGGAUGAGUCUAUUCAAUGUCGCUGAGGCAACAGUUACAAGAUCCUGGAAGAAAACCCGUGGCAGCUCUACACUACAAUAAGGGUGAUAAAGAUGUCUCGCCCAAUGGAAGAUAUCAUAUUUAGACAUGAUCAAGGUAGCAUAG